UACGGAGGGUGCGAGCGUUGUCCGGAAUCACUGGGCGUAAAGGGCGCGUAGGUGGCGCGGGCAGUCAACGGUGAAAGUUCGGGGCUCAACCCUGAAUCGGCCGUCGAUACUCCCGUGCUUGAGCACUGUAGAGGCAGGCGGAAUUCCGGGUGUAGCGGUGGGAAUGCGUAGAGAUCCGGAAGAACACCGGUGGCGAAGGCGGCCUGCUGGGCAGUAGCUGACACUGAGGCGCGACAGCGUGGGGAGCGAACAGG
rnacentral:rRNA from 1 species